UUGGCACCUGACCAAAAUGACCAAUGAGGAGACAAGAUCCUUUCAAAAGCUGGGAGGAGGGAGAAAAAACAAAGGGUCUCUCUGUCUGCCUGCCUGUGUGCUGCUGGGGACAGAACAGGACUGGAGUCUGAGAACUUUUAAUAUACUGGGCCCUGGCCACUGAGCCCCUGGAAGAGAAGGACUGCGACCUGGAACCUGACUUGAUGUGUUCACGUUGCAGAAGUUAACAGAAAGUCCAAUCACUGGGGAAACUGCUUGCGGAGGCAAGAGAGACACACAGCUCCAACGACCGUCACAGGCAGUAAGAACGAAUUGAAGAGGUGGCGGUAGAAGAGGUAGAAGCUGCCGUUACACAAUAAUGCUGAAUUUACUCCAUUUGCUUGUCCAUGACCAUAGUGUGAUGCCACAAACGCAGGAUAAUGACACCAUAGCAGGCUCAAGUUCAAGGAGAGGAAGAACUGGGUUACAGUCUAUGCAGAUAGUUUAUUCUCAUGCAGAGACCCAAUAACAACAAUUGUAUCUAACUCACUGAUCCCCACUCCUUCAGCAUCUGACCUCUUCCUUGCCUGCCCACCCCCAGACACCCUCGUGCAGUGGAGGAAAUAGACCGCAGGAGCUGGAGGAGGGCACCUGCAUGGCGCAGCAGCCAGCCCUUGGAUGGAACAUGUCCGUCAACCUUCACUACAUGUGGGAUGAAGCGCAGAGUAAUCUAUCUAUUUGAGACUGCUGUGUGGGCAUGAGUGUAUGCUUUCCUCGAUUAGGCUUGUUUCACUCUUGUGAGCAAAACCCAUAAUUGGUAGUGUAUUCUUGCACUGGGUUUUGUCACGUUUGCGAUGGAGCACGCUAUGAGACUGAGUACAGCAGUGAUAAACUUUCUGUUAUUACUAGGGCCCUACCAAAUUCACAGUCCAUUCUGGUCAAUUUCACAGCCCUAGGAUUUGAAAAUAAGACAAUUUCACAUUUUCGGAAGUUUACCCCUGAAAUUUCAGGCUGUUGUAAUAGUGGGGGCCCCAACCCAAAAGGGGAUGGGGGAGUGUUCCAAGGCUGCUCUAGGGGCAUUGCAGGAUUGACACCCUCACUUCUGUGCUGCCUUCAGCAGGGAUGGAGACUCCCUGCAUCCAGACCUACCCCCACAGAGCCCCCCCUGCGUCUGGAUCUGUGCUGAGCUCCUCCUCCCUGCAUCCAGACCCGUGCCCUGACUAGCCCCCUGCACCUGGACUAUCCCAAAUGAGCCCCCCAUCCCACUGAACCCCCCAGCACCUGGACCCCCAUGCUGAGUCCUCAGCACCCAGCCUCCCCUGCUGACCUCCAACCACCUUCAUCUGGACCCCCUGCACAGUCCCAUUCCCCCUGCACCCAGAACCCUCACUUCUGAGUCCCGGCCUGCGACCAACACGCGCAAACUAGGGCCCGCGGGACCGGCCUGUCCGGCCCGCCUGAGCUCCCGGCCAAGGAGGCGAGCCCCGGCCCCUCCCCCGACCGCCCUCUCCCCCGUCUCCGCCCCACCCAACGCCCCCGGCUCCCUGACUCUCUCCGCAAACCCCUGCCCCUCAUCCAAUCCUGCCCCCCGCUCGCCGGAGCCGGUCCCGGGCAGAGGGCGAGCGGCUGCGGGGGAGGGGCCGGGGUUCGCUCCCCGGCCGGGAGCUCAGGCGGCCGGACAGGACGUGGGCAAACGACGUCUGGCCCGCAGGACCGUCCUGUCCAAUCCCCAGCCCCUCCCCCGCUGCCUCCCCUCCCCCGGGGUGUGGAUACGGGACAGGGAGUGGGGGGGGGGUUGGGGUCCUGGGGGCAGUUAGGGUGCGGAGGUGUCCG